CAGUCGCCACGGUAAUACAGAGGGUGCUAGCGUUAAUCGGAUUUACUGGGCGUAAAGCGUGCGUAGGCGGCUUUUUAAGUCGGAUGUGAAAUCCCUGAGCUUAACUUAGGAAUUGCAUUCGAUACUGGGAAGCUAGAGUAUGGGAGAGGAUGGUAGAAUUCCAGGUGUAGCGGUGAAAUGCGUAGAGAUCUGGAGGAAUACCGAUGGCGAAGGCAGCCAUCUGGCCUAAUACUGACGCUGAGGUACGAAAGCAUGGGGAGCAAACAGGAUUAGAUACCCCCGUAGUCCCUGUCUCUUAUAA
rnacentral:rRNA from 1 species